AAUUAAUUAACUUAUAUUAAAGUAUUUGUUUUGAAAACUUAAAAAAGAAAAUUAAAUUUCUAUUAAUUU
rnacentral:tRNA from 1 species